rnacentral:misc_RNA from 1 species
CAACUUACAAACUCAGUAUCAACGCGGUUUACACACCUACAAGUCAAGAUGAAGGUUGUAUUCUUGUUAUGUGUCACGUGCGUUAUGUGUUUAUCAGUUGACGCGAGAACGAUAAUACCGGAAUUGUCGAGUGAUUGGUUCUACAACAAAUCGGUGCUGAGUGAAAGAGAUGUUGUUGUAAGAAAUAAACGUAACGUUAUUAAGGACAGUUCUUGCCCUUUGGGUUACAAAAGGUUAAAGAUGCUGCCGAUAUUUUACUGCGCUCGGUGUAAACCAUCGGAUAAAUGCUGACGCUACGAACAAGCCAACGUUAGCACAGCCAAAUGCCAAGACCGUUAAAUAUUUAUACUACAAAUAUUCGAUUACUACGAGAUUUUGUUAUCUUUAAAUUUAUUAUUACUUUAUUUAUUAAAGUUUGAAUAUAAAUUUAAUUAUAACGAAAAUGAAUGGAUAGAUGAUGUCUUAUUUUAUAGAAGAAUAAUAUUUUCACAGCCCACAAAAUUAUUUUGAAAUUGUAAUCUCGACCGCCCAGAUCAGUCUCCAUCGUGCCCUUUUCAUCUUACAAUGACAUUGGCAAAAUCAUUGGUUCUAUUUUAACAUCAUUUUUAAAUUUUCGAAUAAGUGAUUUUUUUUAUUGAAAUCAUAAAAAGGGUUAAUUAUUAGGAAUUUUAAAUAGUACAGUUCAUUAAUUUUUUUAUUUUAUUUGAGUGAUGAUUGUUAUUCUGUUUUAAAAUAUUGUAUUUUUUAAUGUGAUAUAAGUUUAUAAGACUAUAAUAUUCAAGGCGUAUAAUUUAUUAAUAUUGAUAUUGUAUAAUUUAUAAAAAUUAGUAUAUAGAAUUUUAGAAUAUUUCAGUAAUAAUUGUAAUGCCAUUAAAAUACUUGGUUUUCCUCUUAUAGCAAAAUUUAAGAAAAAGCUAAAAAUUUAAUGAAAAGUUGUAAUUUAUAACGUAAAUAACGGUUUGUUCUAUUUUAUGCAGGUAUGAUAUGUUUUAUAGGUGUAUUUUAUACCAAGCCGUCUUAAAAUAUAGCCUCCUUGAAUGAUAGGCUUAUAAAACAUAGUAUUUAAAGUUUACCAGGCUUUAGCAACUUGAAUACUUGUCAAUUUCUUUUACCAUAUUAUGUACGCUAGUUGUAAGACUACCAUUGUUGAUAUACUGAGAUUUAAAAAUUUUAAUUGUACUGAGUAAUACUUUUACGUCAUUUCAUACUUUAAUAACUUUUUUCGUCUAUAAAAUUAAAACAAUAUGUUUAAUUAACAGAACAGUUACAAUUAAAUUAUUUAAAAAAAAUAUUAUAAAACUUAUCUUAAAUUGGUGGACAUGGAAAAGAUAAAUUUAACAGAAAAUAAAAUAACAUUAAAGAGCUUUAUAGUAGAGAGGUAUAUUGUAACUAUAGCACUUAUUUCUAUAUAUUGACGUAACUUAUGUUUUAAAAUUGUUUCGUAAAAUGAGCUAAGAAUUAUCUGGAACUUUUUCUAUAUUCCUAGCUCAUAUUUUAUUCUCUUCAUAUCUUUAGCCAGUAACUCAUUUGUAGAUAGCUCACUUUACAUCAAACGGCUAAGAGAAGAAUAAGUCUUUAUUUAUUAUACAUUUUCAUAAAAAAGAGGAUAUUUCAAAAUUUAUCAUUCAACUUCUUGAAUUGCAUGUAUGUAUCUCAAGAUUGCCAAAAAAAAAAAUUCUAAAAAAAUAAUAUAAAUGUGCCAAAAGAGAGAGAGAGAGAAUGUUAGUCAAUAGAGAAUAGUCAGUAGUUUAUUUGAGUCUCUCUAACUUAGAUAUAAUUAAAAAGUUGUAGUCAGGCGUGAGCGAAGUGGGCCCUCGUCUAUACCUUAGCAUUUAAGGGGCUUUGCAAUGACUCCUUUGCCUGACUUUAUUUACCAUAGAUAAAAAAAUAAUUUAUUUUAUUCAGCAGGGCUCCAAAAAUUUAUUUACGUUUAUUCAUCUCACGUAUAAUUACAAAUAUAACAAGUUAAUUUUCAGCAAUAAAGGCAUACUCUCUAACUCAGCUAUAAUAAUAAAUUUAAUAAAGAACGUCAUAAAUCAAAAAACGUGGUUGUUUGAGACCUCACAGGAAGCCCUUCUUAAACGAGACUACGAAGAUUUUAUCUAUCUUUAAAGACUGCGACACUUAGAUUGAUAGGAUCCGGCAUUUGGGUAGAUAUUUGGAAGGAAAUAAUGGGGGCAUUCGACUUCGUCCAUGCCAUUAGACCCCGCUACAUAUCUAUGUAAUUAUGUGUAUACAAAUAAAGUAAUUGAAAUAAGUGGAUGUGUCCUUGAAAUUCCUAUAAAUGUAUUUUUGGAAAUUUAAUAUCUUCAAUUGUAAAUGUAAAUUUUAUGACGAAUAAAAAUGUAAUUUCAACAGUUUAAAUAAAGAAUGUUGAGUUUUAUAAAGGUUUUUAUUUAUUUUUUUAACUACUAUCAUUAAAUACGACACGUUGGUGCAGUGGUGGCAAAUAAUCCGUUGAUAGUUGCGGGUUCAG